AGCUAUAAGUGAAUCUGGCUUUGACAUCUGCCAGCAGGGUUGAUUUGGCUGAUCUGGGUGUCUAGGAAGAGGCUCCCUUUCCUCUUCAUUGCUCUAUGUAUGUCUCCUCCUGAAACUGGAGUUUUUGGUCAAAAAGGAUGACCUUCCCAAAUAGAGGAGGUAUAGUCUUUGGUCAAGGGUAUAUAACUGUGAUCUCCUGCUAGAACCUCCAAAUGAGUUCUCAAGGCUAUAUCCUAUUAAAUACAAUCUAUAUCCUAUUAAAGAAUUUAGACACGUUUGAGAACAGCAUUC
ensembl:misc_RNA 7SK 7SK RNA